rnacentral:lncRNA from 1 species
AAAAUUGGGAAAAUCUAGUUUUUGUCAUUAAACAUAAUAAUAAUACGAAAAGAAUAGGUAGAGUUCGACAGCCUUUCAAUUUUCAUUAAUAAGACGGAGAUAAAAGAUCGAUCGCCUCUUUCAUUCCAAACGAAUCGGCAAUGUUAUCUGUCAAAAAGCGAUGCACUUAGUGAUGACUCAAUCUUGGUAAAAAGUAGACGUACGUUUUUGCGGCGUGAAGUCGAAUAUUGCCGUUUACAAUUAAAACGCUCUGCGACCAUGCGAAAAUGUUUUUAAGAGACCGGAAGAUUUUAGGUCUACUAAAUAUCCCAGCAAUCGAAAAUGAGGAAGAAUUAGUGUCAAAAGUGUUGGACAUUGAUUCAGAUGUAUUGGUAAGGCACUUAUUGUGUCCUUCCUUAUUACCAUUUGCAAACAAAGAAAUCAAUUUCGGUUGAAAUUAAGAGCAAUAUUAGUACCAAAUAUGACCAGACUCUUUCUGUAACAAAAAGCCAAAAAUGUUUUCCUUUAAACCUUGUACCUGAUUAUGAUAAUCAGUCGUGCAUAGAAGACGAGAAGACAGUCGCAAAUACUGCGCGUCGUUCAUCUACCAGUUUGAUUUCUUCUUCAAAUUUGUUUGGAUCCUCCUCAAAUUCAGACAGUUCAACGUCAUCCAAAAAAUCUAGGCGAACAGAAGGAAGUCCUGUUUAUUUCCAAGAACUGAAACCUAACCAGAUUGCGAAUGUUUCUUCUGUAGAAUCCAGCCAAGACGACAUUAUUGAGAAUACGCCGGUGACAGAUCAGUUAAAAUAUAGCAGAGACAAAUUAAUUUUCAGUUUAUUUUCGGCUUAUUUAUCUUUUAUUAUAUUUCUCUAAGUUUUUUUUAUUUAUUUGCCCUUUCAUUUCUUUGCAGCUACAAUCUGCAAUUAAUUCUACCUCACAUAAGCGUAGAUGCUGCCUUAAUAACAAUUUGAGGACAAUAUCUCCAAUAUAUACUGAUGAGAGUGAUGUAGAUGACGAUGUCGCAGAUCCAAUAUUUGUUUCCGAAGAUCCACUUACUGAAAACUAUAGAAGGAGGUUUAAAGUGUCCCGGCAACCUCUAGUUCUUCGAAUUCCGAGCCUGAAGUUGAGAUUGAGCAAAAAGGUCGUAAACGAACCCGGCGUCCAUAGAAAUAGAAACAAAAUAAGGCAAAACGAUUGAGAAAUCUUGGAGAAGAAUAUGUAUCCCUUUCUAAAACUAAAAAGACGAUGCCAAGCCGUUGUCUUAAAAUACCAUGUAGAGAGAAAUGCCGCUUAAAAUGUUCUCAAAAUACUAGCACUGAGGAAAGAUAUGAGAUAUUUUGUAAUUUCUGGAAAUUAGGUAAUUUAGGUGAGCAAAGAGCUUCUAUCAAUUCGUCUAUGGUUGACCUGAUGCCCAAGUAUAAAUACAUAAAUGCAGAAAAGCCAAGAGCUUCAAACAAGGCCUACUACUUAACCUCAAACGAAUGUCAGGAUUAGAGUCUGCAAAUUAUUUUUCAAAAGCACUCUAGAUGUGACUGACCGCAUGAUACAUACAAUCCAGCACAAAAAAGAUAGUACUGAAAUAGUGCAAGGAGACCUUCGAGGAAAGCUUGGAAACCACAGAUAAUUGAGUAAGGAAUUAGUGGAUGAUAUAAGGAAGCAUAUAGAUUCCAUUCCUCGGAUUGAGCCGAUUUUUAUUGUCAAUACAGGAAGAGAAUCAGUAAACUGGAUUGACAUAAAACAGAUAAAAGUCUCUAAGAAGAAUCCAUUUACAAUUUACUACAAAACAUCUUACGAACAAGAGACCUGUCAGGAAAUUGAUAUUAGGAACAAACGAAAAAAGAUGCCACCCAUUAAUUUAAUCUCUCUUGAAAAAGCAUAUACUGAAAAGCAAGAGUUAAGUGAUAACAAGAAAAAAGACUUACGGGAACUUCUCAAUAAAGAUCUUUCUUAUUCCUCCAUAUUAUUCAAAACUUCUACAAUACUAUUUUGUCUGAUUAAGUUAAAACCUAUACUAAUUUUUCAUAGUAAUUUUAUAUUAUUAAGUACUACGAUAUAAAAGAGAUUUUUUUAAAGUUUUUGUUUAUUAGAGUUUUUUUUUGUUUGUUUUAGAAGUCGAUUUUGUUUUAAGCUCCAGAUCUCAAUUAUUCCAAAGUAUAGGUUAAAUAAAAAGUGCCUUAGUACGUUAUUUGAGGAGUCCUAAUUUCACUAAGGCUCAUUUUAUUUGGUUUAUUGAACAUGAUGAUGAUUAUUAUAUUUAAGUAUUAAGAUUAACGUGAUGAUCUCUACCUCAACUCAAUGAGUAUUAAACAAGGCUGUUUUAGUUUAUGCUAGAAGUUCCUACUUAUGUUAUUUUCAUAUUUUUUAUUAUUAGUUUGUAAGUCUAUAGGUGCAAAACUUCAAGACUGAAAGUUUAUGUUGAUUAAAUAGUAUCCAAGCCAA